rnacentral:rRNA from 2 species
AGUCGACGGCAGCACGGGGGCAACCCUGGUGGCGAGUGGCGAACGGGUGAGUAAUACAUCGGAACGUGUCCUGUAGUGGGGGAUAGCCCGGCGAAAGCCGGAUUAAUACCGCAUACGCUCUACGGAGGAAAGGGGGGGAUCUUAGGACCUCCCGCUACAGGGGCGGCCGAUGGCAGAUUAGCUAGUUGGUGGGGUAAAGGCCUACCAAGGCGACGAUCUGUAGCUGGUCUGAGAGGACGACCAGCCACACUGGGACUGAGACACGGCCCAGACUCCUACGGGAGGCAGCAGUGGGGAAUUUUGGACAAUGGGGGCAACCCUGAUCCAGCAAUGCCGCGUGUGUGAAGAAGGCCUUCGGGUUGUAAAGCACUUUUGUCCGGAAAGAAAACGCCGUGGUUAAUACCCGUGGCGGAUGACGGUACCGGAAGAAUAAGCACCGGCUAACUACGUGCCAGCAGCCGCGGUAAUACGUAGGGUGCAAGCGUUAAUCGGAAUUACUGGGCGUAAAGCGUGCGCAGGCGGUCCGCUAAGACAGAUGUGAAAUCCCCGGGCUUAACCUGGGAACUGCAUUUGUGACUGGCGGGCUAGAGUAUGGC